UGUAUCAUUUAUUUUCUUUUAUUAUUUAUUUUCUUUUAUUAUUCAAACAUUUGUUGAGUCCUCAUUGAUAUUUUUAGGCAGUGUAAGAGUUCUCUAUUUUAUGGGAGGAGGCUGAUGACCAGUGAAAAACAACAAGAGAACCAAGGACAAAUUUGGGAAAGCCAAUAUUUAAGGGAAGGGACAGGAAAGAACAAUGUUGCAAAAGCCAGGCCAUUACAGUUUUGAUAAUAACACAAGGACUCUGGUUUUCACAUUAACCUUUUGUCAUAUCAUGAGAAUGUUUUUUUCCACGGUGAUGCAUAAUGCGAGUAGUUUUGCUGAUUGCUUUAUCUUCCAUCAUCUUGGUAUAACUCGAUUGACUUAACAGUACAUUCUUUCAUUUAACAAACACUUAUUGAAUGUUGCUAUGGUUUGGAUGUGAUUGCUGCCCCAAAGGUUCGUGUGUGGGAAGCUUGAGUAGCCCCUGUGUGGUGACAUCAAGAGAUGGUGGGACCUGUAAGAGGUGAGCUCUUCCUCUUCCACACGCGAUGCCAUGAGGUCCCCGCCAGAGCUGAGCCCGUGCCGGUGCCGUGCCCCGGAAGCUCCAAAACUGUGAGCUAAGGAAACCCCUCAUCUGAGUAAGGAUCCCUCUGGCUGUUAACAAGAAGCCUGUGGGGGAGGCAGAGAGACCAGCUGGAGGCUACCAGCCCUGCGGGCAGAGAUCAGGAUGCUGUGACCAGGGCAGGAAGCAGCGGUUCUCUUCACAGGGGCUGCACUGGGAAUGAGCCGUCUCAGCUCUGCUGCAGGAGAGGACUCAGCUGCCACCGAAGCAGGCGAUGUGGAUGCUGCCAGUCUGACGCACCUGUUUCAAUGCUGCCAUUUCUGAGUUUGCUGCCGUGCUGUUCUUUAAACAUGAAACAUUUUAAACCCACCAAGCUGUAAGGGAGACUAUCACAAACACCCUGUGCUCACUAUUAGGAUUGAAGAGACAUAGAAAAAUUGUCACCUUGGCUUCUGUCCCAAUUUAUGAUUAUCAAAUGCUGAUAGCCGACAUCUCUGAUUCUCAUGCCUUUCAUGUCCCUUGCCGUCUGUCUCUUUCCCUGCCCUCGACAUCAUUGCAUUUCUAACACCUUCAGUCUUCUUCCAUUCUCUGUAUUCAUUCCCUGAUUUGUGUAGUCAACUAAAAAGGCAAGUGUCUGUUCUAUGUCAGGGGUAGGACUUGUGGAAUGAGGAUCAGGGAGUGGCCGAGACUAAGUGAGGAUCUUGGGAAUUUUUUACACAUGACUGUUUAAUAUUUUGAUUUUUAAUCGAAUUAUCAAUGUUCCCAAGGCCUUUUGCAUGGAUCAAGGCAAGCACAUCUGAAUGCCAUGUGCGUAAUCGCAGAGCCAGGCCGUGGCCAGCCUGCUUUUCCAAGCCUUCUUGCUUUCUUCUUGCAUCUUGCAUCCUGUUUCAUUCAUUGGUAAACUUGUUUUCCUUUCUCUGCAGAAUCACAGAGUCAGCCUGUCAUGAAGGUUGUGCAUAUUUUCAAAGAAACAGCUGUGCCAAUUCUUCUCUUCCUUGCAAUAAUUCUUCCUCUUACCUCUUUCCUGACUUUUCACCAAACGCUGCCUACUAUGAAAUAUGAAGAUAUUUCAAAAAAUUUAUGGAAAAAUGGAACUCAAAGCUAAAUUUAUUCUAGUGCAAAAAUUUGAAGUCCAUCCAUAAGGUUUUUUUUUUUUUAAAGAUUUAUUUAUUUACUUGAAAGGUAGGGUUACAGAGAGGUGGAGGGAGAGAGAGGUCUUCCAUCUGCUGGUUCACUCCCCAGCUGGCCACAACGGCCAGAGCUGCACUGAUCCAAAGCCAGGAGCCAGGAGCUUCUUCCAGAUCUCCCAUGUGAGUGCAGAGGCCCAAAGAUUUGGAACAUCUUCCACUGCUUUCCCAGGCCAUAGCAGAGAGCUGGAUCGGAAGUGGAGCAACUGGAACUUGAACUGCACCCAUAUGGGAUUCUGGCACUGCAGGCGGUGGCUUUACCCACUGUGCCACAGAAGUGGCCCAGGUUUUUCCAUUAUGCAUAUUUUCCAUGAAUUUUUAAAGUAUCCUUGCACAAGGUAUCUGAUAAAUGUUCUGAUAAAUGCACAAGGCAUCCAAUAAAUAAGGCUGCCUAUCAUAGCCCUUAGGAAUGAGCAUUCUUGGGGGCUGGCAUUGUGGUGUAGUGGGUUAGGCUCCCAGCUGUGACACCAGCAUCACAUAUGGGUUCCAGUUUGAGUCCUGAAUGCUCCACUUCCCAUCCAGCUCUCUACUAAUGUGGCUGGAUAGGCGGCAGAAGAUGGCCCAAGUGCUUGGGCCCCUGCCCUCCUACUUGGGAGACCUGGCUCCAGUUGGUGCAGCCAUCUGGGGAGUGAAUCAGAGGAUGGAAGUUCUCUCUGUCUCUUCUCUCUCUCUCUAACUCUUCCUUUCAAAUAAAUAAAAUAGAAUGAAAGAAUGAGCAUGCUAGGCAUCUGACAGACCUAGGCUGUUGUCAAUUUCUUAUGGCUGCCUUCACGAAUUGCCACAAAUGAGAUGACUUGAAACAACAAAUAUACUUUCUAAUAAUUCUGGAGACUAGAAAUCCUAAAUGGGCAGAACCAUCCAUUUCUGAAAGCUGUAGAGGAGGAUUUUCCUUGGCUUUUCCUAGCUUUUCAUGGCUGCCGGGGGUCCUGGGCAUGUGGCUUAGAACACCAGUCCCCAUCUCCAUCCUCACUUAGCCUUCUCCCCAUGUUUGCUCCCAUGUUUUUGUGUCCAAAUUUUGUUCUUCUAAAGACACCAGUCAUUGGAUUUAAGGCCCUCCCCAAACCCCUAUUAUCUCAUAUAACUUGAUUGUGUUUGUAAAGACAUUCUUUUCAAAUUAGGCCACAUUCUGGGCCUUGGGCCUCUAGUGGAUGUGAAUUUUGGGGAGGUGCUAUCCAAUACAAUUGGAUUCUGGAUUUGCUAAUUAUUAGCUGUGUGAUCUUAGAACAAUUAAUAAGCAAUCAAUUGGGGUAUGCAUUGGUAUAUCAGCUUAAGUCACUGCUUGGGAUGCCCACAUCCCAUAUUGAAGUGUCCGAUUUGCGUCCUGGCAAUUCCACUGCCAAUCCAGAUUCCUGCUAAUAUGCAUAAUAUGUAUCUUGGGAGGCAGCAGACGAAGCUCAAGUACUUGAGUUCUUGCCGCCCGUGUGAAAGACCCAGUUGGAGUUCCAGGCUCCUGGUUAUGGCCUAGUCUAGUCCUGGCUGUUGCUGGGAACUAAACCAGCAGAUCAGCAUGAGAUGGUGUUAACAUUCUGUUAAGUGGUUAGAGCAGGUCUGAUAAAUCCUGUAGUUGGUUCUAUGUCAAUGUUUGAAUAAAGAGAAUUUAAAACAUAAGAAUUUUUUAUGACAGUAGGAUCAAAGAAUUACAUGCAUUUUUGCUAAGUAGUUAUUUUACAUUGAAUUAUAAAUGUUUCUACAGUGGAUUUUUAAAAAUAGAAUGCUUCAUCUUAAAUUGGAAAACUAAUAAUAUUGGACUUUAAAAUUUUUAUACUAAGGCACUUAUUGCAGUUAUUUUUGAAAAAUAAACUUGAUGAAAGUCUCUUUCUUUGCCUCUGCCUUUCAAAUAAAAGGAAAAUUAAACAAUAAAAAAUGUAAAAAGCUUUCAAUAAAGAUAGCUGUUAUAGGAAUGUGGAAGGAGGGUAGAAGAAACCAUUUCUAACUGAUAAGACAAUAUAAAAGGAGGAUUUAAUCUAGGUAGGAGGAUUUCAAUAGGUGGAGCUUUAAUUGCUACUUAAUGAUUUAUUCCAAACUUCCUGCCAGAUACCAGAUGCUGUGUUGAGCAACAAAUUCUAUUCCAAGUGAUCCUAAAUGAUAAAUUUGCUAUAAAUAGUUGGAAGAAAAAUGUAGCCCAUUCUGAGACAGGAUUCCUGAGUUUAUUGGCAAGAAAACAUGUGGUGAAAUUCAGGUAUUUCAACACUUUGUGAAGAGUCUAGUAAAUCCUAUCUCCAGGAGUGGCUCCCAGAUUUAGGAAGGAGGGAUCAGGAGGGGCAGGGCAGUGGGUAUGGGCCUGGGCAAAAGCUCUAAGAACAUUUCAAGUGCACCCCAAAACUAGGGGUGCUGGUGCGGGAGACUGUGAGGAGGGGUCCCUCCCUCUGCAUGCCCUUAGAGAACUUUUCUUUUGGGGGGCUGCAGACAAGUGCCCAGGGUUGGAAGGUUUGAAGGUAAUAUGCCCGUGUGCCAGGAAGAGGCUGCUGGAGGAGGGGCUAGAUAUCCCAGUCUAACAACUGCCUAGGGAGAACAUCUAUUUCUUUUUUUUAAUUAAUUAAUUAAUUUAUUUAUUUGCAAGUCAGAGUUACACAGAGAGAGAGAGAGAGAGAGAGAGAGAGAGAGGUCGGUCUUCCAUCCACUGGUUCACUCCCCAGGUGGCCGCAAUGGCUGGAACUGCACCUAUCUGAAGCCAGGAGCCAGGAGCUUCUUCUGGGUCUCCCAUGCAGGUGUAGGGGCCCAAGGACUUGGACCAUCUUCUACUGCCUUUCCAGGCCACAGCACAGAGCUGGAUUGGAAGUGGAGCAGCCGGGUCUCAAACCACCGCCCAUGUGGGAUGCCAGCGCUUCAGGCCAGGGCGUUAACCUGCUGCACCACAGCGCCGGCCCCAGAACAUCUAUUUCACACACAGUCUGAGCCAAGUGCUUUCUGUCUGCUGUGGCAAUUGAAUUCCUCAAAUAGUCCUUUGAAGUGGGCUUUAUUAUCUUCACUUUAUAGAUGGCAAUGCUAAAGCUUAGGCAACGUGAUUUGCGCAAAGCCAGUCUUCUACCAAGUGUCAGAAUCACUAUUCCAUUGCAAUCCUACCUGAUAACCAGGCCAGUGUUCUUAAUUAUUAGCUGUAGACUGACCUUGCUGCUUCAGAACUUAAAGAUUCUGAGAAUUAGGAUACUGGAACAUUCCCUGGGGAAGGGCUGAAGGUUUCAUGCAUUUAACUCUUCUCUGUGCAAGAGGUAGUAAAAAGAAAAACCAGGAAAUUUAUCCUGGGGUUUUCCCACUCUAUAUGGGAAAAUGAGCACUCCAGAAUUGGCAAGCAAGAGACCCCCUCAGGCUCUUGGUGGACACUGAACUCUGUGGCCAGCUGAGGCAGAGGAGGCCAGCCACGGGCCCGCUGUGCAGGGCCUAGGUCUGCACUUGGUGGAGCAGGACUCCAACAGAUGGCAUCCGCAUGAUGACAUGAUAAAGCGGAAGCCAGUGUUCAGGAAUGUAGGAAGGACCUCACGGUCUGUGGUGAGUUUUCCCAGGUGUGCUCUCCUCAGGCGAGUGAAGAGUGAAGGGUGGUGGCUAGCAGCCUUCACCUGAGUGGAGAUCUUCAUGGUUCUAUCAUGUUCGGAAAGAACCUUGCAAAUGAGAGUGCCGGUUCCUGCUGAGUCCCCCUGGGCAACAGUGAGGGUGUCUGGAAACCGGAAGAGUAACCAGUGCGCGUCUUAGAAAGAGGAAGAGGUGUUCUUGCUAGCUGUGGGCCAGGCAGAAUUCCAGGGAGGAGUAGCUAAAGGAGCAGCUGCUGAGUGCCCAGGGAGGGAAAGCAUGGUAAGCCAGACUUUCUGUGUGGCCUCCCUCAAAAUCAGUCAUUUCCCUUCCGCCGGUGCCAAGCUUAGACUCGGUGGUUCUCAGACUGGGCUAUAUCUGAGGAUGACUUGGAAGCGAUGUCCCACUUCUCUGGAAGUCUCAGCAGUGGUGAUUUUUUAAAAAAUUAAACUGUAGUGAUUGUUUAACAGAAUUAUGUCUUUUAUAUAAUAUACAUAUCAUAUACUUUAUACAUUUAAAGUGUUUAAUUCAAGGAUAAGUGUUUGGCAUAGCAGUUAAAAUGCCAGUUAAGACACUAGCAUCCAAUAUUGGAAUGCCUGGGUUCGAGUCCUGGCCCAGUCCCAAAUGCAGCUUCCUCCUUACGCAGCCCUUGGGAGGCAGCAAGGGAUGGGUCAAGUAAUUGAGUCCCUGCUAUCCACGUGAGAGAUUUGGAUUUAGUUCCAGGCUCCCAGCUGUCAGUAUGGAUUGGCCCAGCCAUUUGGGGAUUAAAUCAGUGGAUGAGAGAUCCCAGUUUCUCUCUGAAUUUCGAAUAAAUAAAACUUUAAAGUCUACAAUUUGGACCUAGCAUUGUGGCUCAGCAGGUUAAGCUGCCACCUGUGAUGCUGGCAUCCCAUAUGAGCACCCAUUCGAGUCCUCCAGCUGCUCUACUUCCAAUCCACCUCCCUGCUAAUGCACUUGGGGAAGCACUGGAAGAUGGCCCAAGUGCCUGGGGUCCCUGCACCCCCAUGGGAUACUCAAAUGGAGCUCCAGGCUCCUGGCUUUGAUCUGGCUCAUCCCAGGCUGUUGCAGCCAUUUGGGAGAUGAACCAACAGAUGAAAGCUGUCCCUCUCUGUCUCUCUGUAACUUUGCCUUUCAAAUAAAUACUAAAAAAAUUAAAGUAUACACUUAAAUGGAUUUUAUUGUAUUCAUAGAGUUGUACAGCCAUCACUGCAGUACCUUUUCACCACCACCACAAUCUUCACCUUUCCAGCCCGAGGCAUCUGUUAGUCUCCUUUCUGUCUCUAUGGAGUUGCGUAAACCCCACAUUCACCAUAAAUGGAAUGAUACAAUCUGUGGCUCUUGUGCCUAGAUUCUUUCACUUAGCAUACUUUUUUUUUUUUAAUUUACUUAUUUAUCUGAAAGGCAGAGUUAGAAGGAGAGAGGUCUUCUAUCUGCUGGUUCACUCCCCAAAUGGCUGCAACAGCUGGAGCUGGGCCAGUCUGAAGCCAGGAGCUAGCACAGGAGCUUCUUCCAGGUCUCCCAAGUGGGUGCAGGGACCAUCUUCUACUGUUUUCCUAGGCCAUAGCAGAGAGCUGGAUAAGUGGAGCAGCCAGGACACAAACCAGCACCCAUAUGGGAUGGGAUGCCAGCAUUGCAGGUGGCAGCUUCACCCAGUACACCACAGCACUGGCCCCAGAAUGUCAUUCUUAACCCCUUUGUAUCAGCAUGCUUUUUCCAUUACCUGUGUGGUUCCUCUCAAUGAUCAUCCUUACUUCUAGGACACACCAGGAAACAGCUAAGGGAGAAUUCAGUGUUGUGUAACUCCCCUGACCUUAGUUUUAAUCCACUUGAAGCAACCCAUCCUUGCCCCGUUUCCCAUCCUGACCUCCCUCUUUGUGGUUUCUCUGGUUUUCAGCCUUACUUUUACUUGGGCUUGAGUCACUCCUUUACACUUGAUGUUCAGGUUCAGGAAAGUUGUUCUACCAUGUACUCCUGGUUCCUCAUCUGCCCAGCAAAAAAAAACUAAGAAAUAAAGAUGGAGUACUGGGAAACACAACAUUUAAAGAAAAAGAAAUAACAACUUCUUAUCUCUGAGACUAAUUGAUAAAAAGGAUGCAGAGUGCUUAGCGUCUUGCAUAAACCACGCAGGCAAUAGGUGUUAACACUGACCACUGUCUUGCUCUUCUUGAGACUUGCUCUUGUUAUGAACUUAGCCUUCAGGUCUGGUGCUUUUCUGCACCAUCUGCUUGAUGAUGACCUCAAGUCCCCAAAGCCACAAUGCAGCUUCUUCCUUCAGCCCUGCUGCCUGGAAGAAACCCAGCCUCAGGGUGUCUCCCAAGGAGCCAGUCUCUUCUGGGCUGUGCACACAGCCCCUUGUCCUACCCUUAGGGCAGAAACGAAAGUCACUAUGGUGAAGGAAUAGGAGUUGAUUCUGUGUUUCUAAUUGGGCAGAUGUACACCUCGAUCACUUUUCUCCAUGUCAAGCUGCUGAAUGUAGGGAUUAAUUUGUAGCACCUCAGUUUCUAGACUAUGGGUGCCCUUCACGUGAUGUAACCUGCUUGAUGUCAGCUCUGCAAUCCCAGAACCAACCACUUGUGAUUAUCUGGGUUGCUGUCCAGUUCAGUUGAGCUCUAUCAAACACCCAUAGUUUCUUAGCGGCUUUGCUGUUUAUUUCAACUUCUGGUAAAAAGUGUGUUAAUUCUCUUGUAAUAGGGACAGCAUUUUGCUCUUGUUUCAGGGAAAAAAAAAAAAAAACAGCUUCAUUGCACUUUUUCCAGGUAUGAUUCUAUUAACAAGUGAGCCAGUCUCUCUGUAUAUACUACCAGUUAGGAUGCCUAGUUUAUAAAAAAGGUAGAGAUAGCAUUUGAUUUGUAGGGGGCGAGCCCCCAAGGAGCAAUAUGGGGGCCAAGAUGGAGGAGAGUAAGACUGGAGUGGCAAGAGGCAGAGCAGACUGAAGGCUGAGUGGUCCCCCAGGCAGAACUCGUCAUGUGGGGGUGUCAGCGAGAGAGAGGGAGAGAGGGAGGGAGAGAGAGAGAGGGAGAGAGAGAGAGAGGCAGGCUGGCUUUGAAGGGAUCAAUGGAACCUGCCAGUCCUAGAUGUUAAGCAAUUCUCCGACUCUGUAUCCGAAGGGAGAUCCAAUCACAUUUGGCAUUCGGUGAUGUUUAGGCAUUUACAGACUCUUUGGGGACACUCAUAUGAAAAUCUCACAUCGUCCCACAGCUUUCUGUCAUCCUCUAGCCUCUGAGUCACACCUCCCUGCUGACAAAAUGUAAGGCCUUUCCUUGCUGCCCCUCAAGGGAAUUUUGGUCUUGUCUUAGUAUGUUUUCUGGUGCUAUAACGGAUACCAUGGACUGGGUAAUUCAUGGAGAACGCUCACAGUUCUGUAAGCUGGGGAAGUCCAGCAGCACGGUGCUAACACCUGCUCGGUCUCUGGCAAGGCUCUUGUUGCAUCAAACCAUGAUGGAGGGCAUCUCAGGGCGAGGCAGAGGAGUGUGCCAUAGAGCUCCCUUCUGUAACAGAGCCACUCCCAUGAUGACCCAUUCAUCUAUCAAUCCCAUUAUGAGGUCAGAGCCUUAUGACCCAAUACCUCCCAGAGGCCCCUAAUUUCAAUACUGAUGUACUGGGGACUUCAUUCCAACACUUGAAACUUGGGGGAUACAUUCAGACCAUAGCAGGUCUCUGUCUACUAACAUUGCCAAUCAUUUCCUUAGGCCUCCGGUUUAUGUCAGCUCCUGCUAUAACGUACACUGCAUAAGGGCAGAAGCCGUGUCGUCUUUUCUGAGACAUUCAAGUUAUUUACAAUAAUGUUUGGUUUAUAGUAAGUACUAAGCAAACAUUUGUUGAAAUAUGAUGAACAAAGCAAAGGUUGUGUAUCAUGGACUACUGAAGAAAAAGCAAGCAGGAAGAGAACUGAGUGAAGACUCCUGGUUUUGGUGUAGAAAGUCAUUUGUGACCUAGGGUAGAGCAUUUUCAGUAGAGUGUGUUGUGCAAGGAAAAAUGAAGCAUAGUAGUUGUUAUUUGAAAUUUGCUUUUUGGAAAAGGUAAUGAAGGCCUCUGGUUUCGGGAGGCCAGGAAACCGGGCUGCAAUGUUAGACUAGUCUGCUCUAUGAUAUGCUGUCUGUUAUGUCUCAUGGAGUUUGAAAAUAUGGGGAGUCUUCAAAGAGUUCAUGGCAAAUGUAUAUUAUAAAAAAGUGAAUUUCCAGUUUUUAUAUCAAAGCAAACUAAUCAUUUAAAAUAUUCAUUAUUUGAGAAAGAUGGAUAGCAAGAGUGAAAGGGAGAGAGAGAGAGAAAGUGAGAGAGAGAGAGAGAGAGAGAGAAAGAGAGAGAGAGAGCUCUCAUCACUCUACAAAUCCCUACAAUGACCAAGACUGGGCCAGUGCCAAAGUUGGGAGCUGUGAACUCAGUCAGGUCUCCCAUGUGGGUAGGAGGGACCCAAGUACCUAAGCCAUUACACCUGCUGUCGAGAGUCUGCAUGAGCAGGAAGCUGGAGUCAGGAGCAGAGCCAAGCCUCAAUCCUGGGCACUGUGAUAUGGGAUGUGAGUGUCUUAUCCUGUAUAAUAACCACGAGGCCAAUGCCUGCCCCAACUUAUCUUUCAAUUCCAUUUUUCCACAGACUUUUUGAGGUGCCCUCAUAUUGGCCUUUAUUUGAUGAGACGAUGGCUUGAGAAAAUAUGUACUUGAAAAUAUUCAGCUAGGUUCUCAAGGGACUGUUCCAUGUUGCAUAAGAUAAUUGGAGACAGAGUAUAAGAAUAUAAAUAUGCAGGAAGGAAGUUUCUGUUUUCAUUAGAGAAAGAGUGACAGAGUAUUUUGUUAAUGUAGUUAGACAUUUGGUGUCAGGCUUCAUCCAGGGAUAUCUUAGUGUUCACUGACAUGACGCUGCUUUCUCCUGUUUGCUGCACGCCUUUCCUGCAUUGUGUGGGUUCAGCGUUAUUUGACUUCACUGUAAGUCACCCUUUGACACCAUAGAAAGGACUUCUUCUAGAGGAGUUCAUGAACAAUGCCAGAGUUGAACUGCAUCCCCGCUGAACAUUGUUCUUCUUUAUCGUUCUCUGAGGCAUCCAUGGAAGGUGUUGCUAUCCUGAGGGAGAGAGUGGAUUGAAACUUAAUUCACCUGAAAUUCAGGUGUUCUGACCUUAUCACCCCAUGCCUAUAAAAAUUGAAAUUUCCUUUUAAAUGUAAAUUUGUGGUGGCUGGGAGCCUCUCUCCCUGGUUUGGUGACUGGAAGCUGUCUUCCGGCCUGAGGGCCUGGGAGCCAUUUUGUGUGGAAGCAAGGUGGGUCCCUGGUGGUCUUUUGCCUCAGUCCCUUUUCAUCUGGCCACCUGAGGUGACCCUCAUGAGAUUGUACAGGGGACAGCUGUCUAUGUGUACUGCUACUAUUACUGCUCCCUCAGGAGGGAACACUGUUCUCCCCUUUGCUAUUCGCACUCAAGAAUGGACAGAUCUUUCCUCUAGGUGAUCACAGUACACCAUACACCUUGCUCUAACUUUCAGCAAGUAUUUACUCCAUGAAAAAUUAACAGAAGGAAAGUUCAACAUGGACAGUAACUUAAGAACUAAGAGAGGAUGUGGCAACCUUAGAGCUUACAGGCUUGGGGCCAUCAUGUCUUAGGCUCAGUUUCCAGAAGCUGACUUGGAGACAAGGAUUUGAGAGCAAGUGGUUCGUUUGGUGGAUGAUCCCGGGAAGCAUUGGUAGGGGACUGGAGAAGUCAGCCCAGGAAGGGAAGAACUCUAGGUAGGGUGCAUCACUCAGAAGAUUAUCACUGAGGACGCUGGGGCUCAAUCCAAUUAGGAACCUUUGAGAGAUGGAAUAGAAUCUUGGACCAAUGUGGUAACCACCAGACACGUGGCCACUGAACAUUUAAAAUGAAUAUACUCAGAACUGAGUUGUGCUCCAAAUAUAGAAUGCACUUUGGAUUUCUCACAGUACCAAAAAAUGUAAACGAUUUCUUUGAUUUUUAAUAUUGAUUCUAUGUUUACAUCCUUUGAGAUAUAUGGGGUUAAAUAAAAUAUGUUAAAAUUAAUUUUACCUAUUUAAUUUUAUCUAUUUUUUUUAAAGAAUUAUUUUAUUUAUUUGAAAGACAGAGUUACAGAGAGAGGUAGAGCCAGAGAGAGAGAGAGAGAGAUGUUUUCCAUUCUGCUGGUUCACUCCCCAAAUGACUGCAACAGCUAGAGCUGAGCUGAUCUGAAGCCAAGAGCCAGGAGCUUCUUCCGGGUCUCCCAUGCAGGUACAAGGGCCUAAAGCCUUGGGCUAUCUUCUACUGUUUUCCUAGGCUGUAGCAGAAAACUGGAUCAGAAGAGGAGCAGCCUCUUCUGUGCCCAUAUGGGAUGCUGGUGCUGCAGGCUGGGGUUUUAACCUGCUGCGCCACAGUGCCGGCCCCUAAUUUUAUCUUUUUAAAUGUGGCUGCUAGGAAUGUAAAAUUACAUAUGUGACUCAGGUCAUAUUUCUGUUGGACAAUGCUGGUGUAGGACAAGCUGCGAAUUGUCCCAUCAGAGUGUGUUUCCCAAAAUCUGAGUCUCUUGGUCAAGUUUGUAGCAGGAUAUUUGUAGUCCAGCCUGGAUUGCACAGAACUACACCACGUUCAGCUACUUUUCCUGCUUUCUUCUCCACAUGAAGGCCACACAGCUUACCUACAGCCCUGCAAAAAACCAUGUGAACAAGAACACAUAACCCCACAGUAACAAACCUUACCGCGUAAGUGGGGCAGGAUAGUUUAUUUUAAGUCAAGUUUAGCCAUGUAUUGACUGAUAGAGAACUGCUACACUUUUUUUUUUAAAGACUUAUUUAUUUAUUUAUUUGAGAGAGUUGCACAGAGAGAAGGAGAGGCAGAGAGAGAGAGAGAGAGAGAGAGAGAGAGAGAGGUCCUCCAUCUUCUGGUUGACUCCCCAGUUGGCCACAAUGGCCAGAGCUGUGUGGAUCUGAAGCCAGGAGCCAGCAGCUUCUUCCAGGUCUCCCAUGUGGGUGCAGGGGCUCAAGGACUUGGGCCAUCUUCUACUGCUUUCCCAGGCCAUAGCAGAGAGCUGUAUUGGAAAUGGAGCAGCUGGGACUCGAACUGGUGCCGAUAUGGGAUGCUGGCACUGCAAGUGGUGGCUUUACCCACUACGCCACAGCGCUGGCCCCUGCCAUACUUUCUUUAUCACUACCAUCAUGCUUUUCUUGAAUUUAAUUUGGCAAAGAAAACAGACCCCAAAAAGUAUUAUUAAGGUACUUAACAAAAUUUAAAGAAAUAGGAAAAAAUGCUUACAAUUAGAAAACAAAACUUGUCUCUCCGCAGUGGGUAUUCGGUAUAGUGGUUAAGACAGCAUGGGGGAUGCCUGCAUUUCAUGUUGGAGUGCCUUGGUUCCAGUCCCAGAUCCACUCCUGAUUCCAGCUUCUUGUUAAUGUAUACUCUGGUUGGCAGCAGGUAAUGGCUUAAGUGGUUGGGUCCUUGCCACUCAUGUGGGAGACCCAGUUUGCAUACCUGGUUUUGGCAUUAUCCAGUCCCUGCUGUUGUGGGCAUUUGGGAAGUGAACCAGAGAAUGUCUGUCUCUCUCUGCCUUUCAAAUAAAUAAGAUAAAUAAAUCAAAACCAUCAAUCUGUUUUCAAUCUAGAGAAAAUUUUUCUUUGUACAUUUUUUCAGUGUAUAUUAAAUGCUUAUUAUUAUUUCUGGAAGAAAGGAGGCAGAACGUAUAGUGUAUAUGCAUGAGUUAUCUUUGGAAAUAACAUUGAUUGGUUCCACCAAGGGGAAACAGGGCUAACAGAGGAGGGAAUAUGGAAAGGGAAUCUUUACUAUGUACCUUUUUAUACCUGUUGAAUUUUGUACUUUGUCAAUGUUUUACCUAUUUAACUUGUCUUAGUAAAAAAAUAAUCUAAGUACAGAAAUAUUAAAUGGUAGGUUAAAAUCCCAAGUAACAUAUUUUAAGCUUAAGAUGUGUUAUGGAAGGGCUGGUGCUGUGGCCACCUGUGGCCCCGGCAUCCCAUAUGGGCACCAGUUCUAGUCCUGGCUGCUCCUUUUCAGACCCAGCUCUCUGCUAUGGCCUGGGGAAGCAGUAGAAAAGGGCCCACCUAUUUAGGCCCCUGCACCAAGGUGGGGGACCUGGAAGAAGCUUCUGGCUUCUAGCUCUGUCCAUUGUGGCUAUUUGAGGAGUGAACCAGUGGAUGGAAGACUUCUCUCUGUGUUCCUCCCUCUCACUGUAACUCCACUUCUCAAAUAAAUAAAUUAAAUCUCACACAUACCAAAAAAAAA